UAGGGAAUCUUCCACAAUGGACGAAAGUCUGAUGGAGCAACGCCGCGUGAGUGAAGAAGGGUUUCGGCUCGUAAAGCUCUGUUGGUAGUGAAAGAAAGAUAGAGGUAGUAACUGGUCCUUUAUUUGAC
rnacentral:rRNA from 1 species